rnacentral:rRNA from 1 species
CCUACGGGCGGCAGCAGUGGGGAAUAUUGGACAAUGGGGGGAACCCUGAUCCAGCCAUGCCGCGUGUGUGAAGAAGGCCCUCGGGUUGUAAAGCACUUUCAGUGAGGAAGAACGCCUGGUGGUUAAUACCCAUCAGGAAAGACAUCACUCACAGAAGAAGCACCGGCUAACUCCGUGCCAGCAGCCGCGGUAAUACGGAGGGUGCGAGCGUUAAUCGGAAUUACUGGGCGUAAAGCGCGCGUAGGUGGCUUGAUAAGCCGGUUGUGAAAGCCCCGGGCUCAACCUGGGAACGGCAUCCGGAACUGUCAAGCUAGAGUGCAGGAGAGGAAGGUAGAAUUCCCGGUGUAGCGGUGAAAUGCGUAGAGAUCGGGAGGAAUACCAGUGGCGAAGGCGGCCUUCUGGACUGACACUGACACUGAGGUGCGAAAGCGUGGGUAGCAAACCGGAUUAGAUACCCUAGUAGUC